rnacentral:rRNA from 1 species
CUGCUGCCUUCCGUAGGAGUCUGGUCCGUGUCUCAGUACCAGUGUGGGGGACCUUCCUCUCAGAACCCCUACGCAUCGUCGCCUCGGUGGGCCGUUACCCCGCCGACUAGCUAAUGCGCCGCAUGCCCAUCCCCCGCCGGAAUCGCUUCCUUUGGCCGCAGACCCAUGCAGGUCCGCGGCGUUACGCGGUAUUAGUCGGGAUUUCUCCCGGUUAUCCCCCUGCGGGGGCAGGUCGCAUACGUGUUACUCACCCGUGCGCCGGUCGCCGGCAGG